AUCCAAGGAAGGCAGCAGGCGCGCAAAUUACCCACUCCCGGAACGGGGAGGUAGUGACGAAAAAUAACAAUACGGGACUCUUUUGAGACCCCGUAAUUGGAAUGAGCACACUCUAAAUCCUUUAACGAGGAUCCAUUGGAGGGCAAGUCUGGUGCCAGCAGCUGCGGUAAUUCCAGCUCCAAUAGCGUAUAUUAAAGUUGUUGCGGUUAAAAAGCUCGUAGUUGGAUCUCAGUUCCAGACGGGCGGUCCGCCUACCGGCGGCCACUGCCCGUUCUGAACAGCCAGCCGGUUCCCCUCGAUGAUCUUCACCGGUUGUCUUGGGCGACCGGCAAGUUUACUUUGAAAAAAUUAGAGUGCUCAAAGCAGGCGCGACGCCUGAAUAAUGGUGCAUGGAAUAAUGGAAUAGGACCUCGGUUCUAUUUUGUUGGUUUUCGGAACACGAGGUAAUGAUUAAGAGGGACAGACGGGGGCAUUCGUAUUGCGACGCUAGAGGUGAAAUUCUUGGACCGUCGCAAGACGAACUACUGCGAAAGCAUUUGCCAAGAAUGUUUCCAUUAAUCAAGAACGAAAGUUAGAGGUUCGAAGGCGAUCAGAUACCGCCCUAGUUCUAACCAUAAACGAUGCCAGCCAGCGAUCCGGCUGUGUUCCUCAAAUGACACGCCGGGCAGCUUCCGGGAAACCAAAGCUUUUGGGUUCCGGGGGAAGUAUGGUUGCAAAGCUGAAACUUAAAGGAAUUGACGGAAGGGCACCACCAGGAAUGGAGCCUGCGGCUUAAUUUGACUCAACGCGGGGAAUCUGACCAGGUCCGGACACGGGGAGGAUUGACAGAUUGAGAGCUCUUUCUUGAUUCCGUGAGGAGUGGUGCAUGGCCGUCUUUAGUUGGUGGAGUGAUUUGUCUGCUUAAUUGCGAUAACGAGCGAAAUCCCAACCUGCUAAAUAGGCGCUCCGAUCCUUCGAGUCGGACGCCUCUUCUUAGAGGGACCGGCGGCGUCCAGCCGCACGAAACGGGGCCACGACAGGUCUGGAAUGCCCUCAGAUGUCCUGGGCCGCACGCGCGUCACAAUGGAGGGACCAGCGUGUGCUUUCCCUGCCCGACAGGGCCGGGUAACCCGUUGAAACCCCUCCGUGCUUGGGAUAGGAGCUUGUAACUGUUCUCCUUGAACGAGGAAUGCCCAGUAAGCGCGAGUCACCAACUCGUGCUGAUUACGUCCCUGUUUUUUGUGCACACCGCCCGUCGCUAUAACCGAUUGGACGUUUUGGUGAGUUUUUCGGACUGGCGCUCGUACUGUCCUCCGGGAUCGGGACGAAGUGCCGGAAAGAUCAACAAACCUGAGCGUCUAGAGGAUAUAAA
rnacentral:rRNA from 1 species